rnacentral:rRNA from 1 species
CCUACGGGAGACAGCAGUGAGGAAUAUUGGUCAAUGGGCGGGAGCCUGAACCAGCCAAGUCGCGUGAGGGAUGACGGCCCUAUGGGUUGUAAACCUCUUUUGCCGGGGAGCAAAGUGCCGCACGUGUGCGGUUUGGAGAGUACCCGGAGAAAAAGCAUCGGCUAACUCCGUGCCAGCAGCCGCGGUAAUACGUAGGGGGCAAGCGUUAUCCGGAUUUACUGGGUGUAAAGGGGGCGCAGACGGCAAUGCAAGCCAGGAGUGAAAGCCCGGGGCCCAACCCCGGGACUGCUCUUGGAACUGCAUGGCUGGAGUACAGGAGGGGCAGGCGGAAUUCCUAGUGUAGCGGUGAAAUGCGUAGAUAUUAGGAGGAACACCGGUGGCGAAGGCGGCCUGCUGGACUGUGACUGACGUUGAGGCCCGAAGGCGUGGGGAGCAAACAGGAUUAGAUACCCUUGUAGUC